AUUGAACGCUGGCGGCAGGCCUAACACAUGCAAGUCGAACGGUAACAGGAAGCAGCUUGCUGCUUCGCUGACGAGUGGCGGACGGGUGAGGAAUGUCUGGGAAACUGCCUGAUGGAGGGGGAUAACUACUGGAAACGGUAGCUAAUACCGCAUAACGUCGCAAGACCAAAGAGGGGGACCUUAGGGCCUCUUGCCAUCGGAUGCGCCCAGAUGGGAUUAGCUAGUAGGUGGGGUAACGGCUCACCUAGGCGACGAUCCCUAGCUGGUCUGAGAGGAUGACCAGCCACACUGGAACUGAGACACGGUCCAGACUCCUACGGGAGGCAGCAGUGGGGAAUAUUGCACAGUGGGCGCAAGCCUGAUGCAGCCAUGCCGCGUGUAUGAAGAAGGCCUUCGGGUUGUAAAGUACUUUCAGCGGGGAGGAAGGGAGUAAAGUUAAUACCUUUGCUCAUUGACGUUACCCGCAGAAGAAGCACCGGCUAACUCCGUG
rnacentral:rRNA from 1 species